UACGUAGGUGGCAAGCGUUGUCCGGAUUUACUGGGCGUAAAGAGCGCGCAGGCGGCCAAGUCAGUCGAAUGUGAAAGCCCCCGGCUCAAGCUGGGGAGGGUCAUUCGAUACUGCUCGGCUCGAAGACAGGAGAGGGAAGUGGAAUUCCCGGUGUAGUGGUGAAAUGCGGUAGAUAGUCGGGAGGAACACCAGUGGCGAAGGCGACUUUCUGGCCUGUUCUUGACGCUGAGGCGCGAAAGCUAGGGAGCAAACGGG
rnacentral:rRNA from 1 species